rnacentral:rRNA from 1 species
UCUAAGUAUAAACGAUUUAAUCGUGAAACCGCGAAUGGCUCAUUAUAACAGCUAUAAUUUACUUGAUCUUGACACAAUCCUACUUGGAUAACUGUGGUAAUUCUAGAGCUAAUACAUGCAUUAAAGCUCUGACCUCACGGGAAGAGUGCAUUUAUUAGAACAAAACCAAGCGGCUUCGGCUGUUUCUGGUUGACUCAUAGUAACUGAGCUGAUCGCAUGGUCUUGCACCGGCGACGUGUCUUUCAAGUAUCUGCCGUAUCAACUUUCGAUGGUAGUGUAUCUGACUACCAUGGUGAUCACGCGUAACGGAGAAUAAGGGUUCGGCUCCGGAGAGUUCGCCUGAGAAAUCGCGAACACAUCUAAGGAAGGCAGCAGGCGCGAAAAUUACCCACUCUCAGCACGAGGAGGUAGUGACGAAAAAUAACGAGACCGUUCUCUUAUGAGGCCGGUCAUCGGAAUGGGUACAAUUUAAA